rnacentral:rRNA from 1 species
GGCUCAGAACGAACGCUGGCGGCGUGCCUAACACAUGCAAGUCGAACGGAGUUGAGGGGCUUGCUCCUCAAUUUAGUGGCGCACGGGUGAGUAACGCGUAGAUAAUCUACCUGGUGAUCUGGGAUAACACUUCGAAAGGGGUGCUAAUACCGGAUAAGCCCACGGGGUCCUUGGACUCUGCGGGAAAAGGGGGGGACUUUCGGGCCUUCCGUCACCAGAUGAGUCUGCGUACCAUUAGCUAGUUGGUAGGGUAAAGGCCUACCAAGGCGACGAUGGUUAGCUGGUCUGAGAGGAUGAUCAGCCACACUGGAACUGAGACACGGUCCAGACUCCUACGGGAGGCAGCAGUGGGGAAUUUUGCGCAAUGGGGGAAACCCUGACGCAGCAACGCCGCGUGAGUGAUGAAGGCCCUUGGGUCGUAAAGCUCUGACAGAGGGAAAGAAGUGUAUGGGGGCUAAUAUCCCUUGUACUUGACGGUACCCUCAAAGGAAGCACCGGCUAACUCCGUGCCAGCAGCCGCGGUAAUACGGAGGGUGCAAGCGUUGUUCGGAUUUAUUGGGCGUAAAGCGCGUGUAGGCGGUUUUAUAAGUCUGAUGUGAAAGCCCCGGGCUCAACCUGGGAAGUGCAUUGGAUACUGUAAGACUUGAAUACGGGAGAGGGCAGUGGAAUUCCUAGUGUAGGAGUGAAAUCCGUAGAUAUUAGGAGGAACACCGGUGGCGAAGGCGGCUGCCUGGACCGAUAUUGACGCUGAGACGCGAAAGCGUGGGUAGCAAACAGGAUUAGAUACCCUGGUAGUCCACGCCGUAAACGAUGAGUACUAGGUGUUGCGGGUAUUGACCCCUGCAGUGCCGCAGCUAACGCAUUAAGUACUCCGCCUGGGAAGUACGGUCGCAAGACUAAACUCAAA